rnacentral:rRNA from 1 species
UACGUAGGGCGCAAGCGUUGUCCGGAAUUAUUGGGCGUAAAGAGCUCGUAGGCGGCCUGUCACGUCUGCUGUGAAAUCCCGGGGCUCAACCCCGGGCCUGCAGUGGAUACGGGCUGGCUGGAGGCAGGCAGGGGAGAACGGAAUUCCUGGUGUAGCGGUGAAAUGCGCAGAUAUCAGGAGGAACACCGGUGGCGAAGGCGGCUCUUUGGUCCAUGACUGACGCUGAGGUGCGAAAGCUAGGGGAGCAAACGGG